UGGGGAAUAUUGGACAAUGGGCGAAAGCCUGAUCCAGCCAUGCCGCGUGUGUGAAGAAGGUCUUCGGAUUGUAAAGCACUUUAAGUUGGGAGGAAGGGCAGUAAGCGAAUACCUUGCUGUUUUGACGUUACCGACAGAAUAAGCACCGGCUAACUCUGUGCCAGCAGCCGCGGUAAUACAGAGGGUGCAAGCGUUAAUCGGAAUUACUGGGCGUAAAGCGCGCGUAGGUGGUUCGUUAAGUUGAAUGUGAAAGCCCCGGGCUCAACCUGGGAACUGCAUCCAAAACUGGUGAGCUAGAGUAGGGCAGAGGGUGGUGGAAUUUCCUGUGUAUCGGUGAAAUGCGUAGAUAUAGGAAGGGACACCAGUGGCGAAGGCGACCACCUGGGCUCAUACUGACACUGAGUUGCGAAAGCGUGGGGAGCAAACAGG
rnacentral:rRNA from 1 species